CUCCCUCUCUCUCCCUCUUUCUCUUCCCCUCUCUUUCUCUUCCUCCCUGUCUUUUUGUCUCUCUUUAUGUCUAUUGCAUUAUGCUUGAAUAAUUUUCAGCUUUUAUUUUUUUUCCUCUCCUCUUGCACGCACAUGCUAAAAUAACUAGACAAAGAUGUAAGGUGGUUGCAGCAGUCCCUGUCUCUAGGACAAAACCAAGAAAGCUCGUGAUUGCAAUGCCACCUUUCCCUUUUUUUUUUUUUCUUUUUUUUUUUCCCCACCCAUGCUCGGUGAUUAAACUUAACCCAGGAUGGGGAAGAAAAAGGAGCUGGGAAUGAAACAGGGUUAAGGAAAAAGCCCAUUGCAGCAGCUGCAGCCAGUGGUGUCUGCUGCCAGAUGUGCUAAGGCUCCUGGGGUCCUUGACACUAAAAGGCAGUAUUAAAAUAUUUGGAGACAAAAGCUGCAUCCUCAGUGAUCAUUUUCUCUAUUUAACAUGGCAGCAGGCACCGUGUGGGGGAAAAUCAACACGCUCGAUGUUGAAUUGGACUUUUCUCCUUUCUAGGAUGAAAGGAUGUUAUCUAUCCCGUGCCAAGAGAGAACUGAGGUGCAGGGGGAGGGGAAGAAAGUCUUCCAAACUAGCCCACCCUGAGCAAUGAACAUAUGGCUGUUACUAUCAGCACUAGUGUAUUUGCGGCGAUGCCUAUCAACAUCCACCAGAGAGCAGGGCAGCUCCAAAACCCACAUCUUUUAUGCUGUGGAAAUUGAUGGAGACAGCAACACAGCCAGCUUCUUGGCCAAACAACAUGGAAUGCAGUUCAU